CAAUGAGAAGAAGCCUACAAUUCUGGGCUGAAAGCUAAGUGCCCCAUAUAUGUCUGGGUGAUGUUGAAACAGGUAACAUUUCCUGAGAAGAACUCUCCUUCUGGUGCUUUGAAGAACAUUCUGAAGACUGUAUAGGAGACAAUGCAUCAAGAAUCUAUUUAUUGAGUCCUUCUAAAACAAAAGCCAGGAACUCCCUAAUGUAAACACAUAGCGUUUAUUUUGAGGAGAAAAGACAUAGAUUAAAAAAAAAAAAAAA